UACAGAGGUCCCAAGCGUUGUUCGGAAUUACUGGGCGUAAAGGGCGCGUAGGCGGCCGCCUAAGUCAGACGUGAAAUCCCUCGGCUCAACCGGGGAACUGCGUCUGAUACUGGGUGGCUUGAAUCCGGGAGAGGGAUGCGGAAUUCCAGGUGUAGCGGUGAAAUGCGUAGAUAUCUGGAGGAACACCGGUGGCGAAGGCGGCAUCCUGGACCGGUAUUGGACGCUGAGGCGCGAAAGCCAGGGGAGCAAAGCGGG
rnacentral:rRNA from 1 species